rnacentral:rRNA from 1 species
UACGUAGGGGGCUAGCGUUGUCCGGAAUCAUUGGGCGUAAAGCGCGCGUAGGCGGCCCGGUAAGUCCGCUCUGAAAGUCCAGGGCUCAACCCUGGAAAGCGGGUGGAUACUGCCGGGCUAGAAUCCGGAAGAGGCGAGUGGAAUUCCUGGUGUAGCGGUGGAAUGCGCAGAUAUCAGGAGGAACACCGGUGGUGUAGACGGCUUUCUGGACCGUAACUGACGCUGAGACACGAAAGCGUGGGUAGCAAACAGG